GCUACUGACUGAUGUCUCAGUGAGGUCCAGGGCUACUGACUGACGUCUCACUGAGGUCCAGGGCUACUGACUGAUGUCUCACUGAGGUCCAGGGCUACUGACUGAUGUCUCACUGAGGUCCAGGGCUACUGACUGAUGUCUCACUGAGGUCCAGGGCUACUGACUGACAUCUCACUGAAGUCCAGGGCUACUGACUGAUGUCUCAGUGAGGUCCAGGGCUACUGACUGACGUCUCACUGAGGUCCAGGGCUACUGACUGACUGAUGUCUCACUGAGGUCCA